UUAAUUCUUUAAGUAAAAAAUGUUUAAAAAUCUUUUUAUCGAAGAAAGAAAACAAACGCGAAUACAAGAAACUUGAUUUAAAAGGAAAACUAAUAGUACUAAAAUCAAUCAGUGAAAAUGAUGUAUAUAGAAUCAGUGAUUUUGGAAGUAUAGCUAAAUCUGCUAAAGAAUUCUCAAGCAGCUAUUAUAGAUAAUCAAUAGAUUUCUUGCGAAUCCAGUUAAAAUAGCAGCAUGCAACAAGUUGUAUUACUCCAGUCUUUUUUGCAAUGAAAACAAAGAUUUUUGAGAUGAAAACAAAGCAUAUGUUUACUGUCUUUGGAAAUAUCGGUUAUACUAAUAGUCUGUAAUUUUUUUGAACAUUAAAACCAGCAACAAGUAAAAAAUACGUUUAAGAAAACAAAAUGUCAACAAUAAAGUCAUAUUCUAGUAGCUAAUGCUUAUAAAUUACAAAAAAAAUUAAAUGUGUAAUGCAAGAAAAACGUAGACUUGAAAAAAUUCAAUGUGUUGCAAGAAAAACGUCUAAUUAGCUACUUUUGCAUAUCAUUGUAUUUUUAUUUAGCUAAAGUAUGCGAUUAUGUUUUUUGAAACUUGUCUUCUAUAUUCAGAUAUUUUAACACUGCCAUUAGCACUAAUAUACAAAAUUCUUUCCAGUUUGAAAAUAGACGAUUACAGUUUGAGCUGUAAAUUUGAAAGCAAAUUAGUUAUGAUAAGUCAUAUGGUUCUAAUGAUGGCUGUUGGUAUUGCAAAGGAGAUGUUUGUUUUAAUAUUAGUUGCUGUUAACAAGUUUGACAAUCUUCUUUGGAACAGCUUGAUAGACGUUAUGUGAAAAUUAAUUAUAAAAUAAAUCGCAAACAUUUUUUCUAUUAGA